rnacentral:rRNA from 1 species
GAUGAACGCUGGCGGCGUGCCUAAUACAUGCAAGUCGAGCGAACGGACGAGAAGCUUGCUUCUCUGAUGUUAGCGGCGGACGGGUGAGUAACACGUGGAUAACCUACCUAUAAGACUGGGAUAACUUCGGGAAACCGGAGCUAAUACCGGAUAAUAUUUUGAACCGCAUGGUUCAAAAGUGAAAGUCGGUCUUGCUGUCACUUAUAGAUGGAUCCGCGCUGCAUUAGCUAGUUGGUAAGGUAACGGCUUACCAAGGCAACGAUGCAUAGCCGACCUGAGAGGGUGAUCGGCCACACUGGAACUGAGGCACGGUCCAGACUCCUACGGGAGGCGGCAGUAGGGAAUCUUCCGCAAAGGGCGAAAGCCUGACGGAGCAACGCCGCGUGAGUGAUGAAGGUCUUCGGAUCGUAAAACUCUGUUAUUAGGGAAGAACAUAUGUGUAAGUAACUGUGCACAUCUUGACGGUACCUAAUCAGAAAGCCACGGCUAACUACGUG